rnacentral:rRNA from 1 species
UACGGAGGGUGCAAGCGUUAUCCGGAUUUACUGGGUUUAAAGGGUGCGCAGGCGGAUAUGUAAGUCAGUGGUGAAAUCUCCGGGCUUAACCCGGAAACUGCCGUUGAUACUAUAUAUCUUGAAUGCUGUGGAGGUAAGCAGAAUAUGUCAUGUAGCGGUGAAAUGCUUAGAUAUGACAUAGAAUACCGAUUGCGAAGGCAGCUUACUACACAGAUAUUGACGCUCAUGCACGAAAGCGUGGGGAUCAAACAGG